UACGUAGGUGGCAAGCGUUGUCCGGAUUUACUGGGUGUAAAGGGCGUGUAGCCGGGCUGACAAGUCAGAUGUGAAAUUCCGGGGCUCAACCCCGGACCUGCAUUUGAAACUGUUGGUCUUGAGUAUCGGAGAGGCAGGCGGAAUUCCUAGUGUAGCGGUGAAAUGCGUAGAUAUUAGGAGGAACACCAGUGGCGAAGGCGGCUCUCUGGCCUGUAACUGACACUGAGGCUCGAAAGCGUGGGGAGCAAACAGG
rnacentral:rRNA from 1 species